AUGGUGGCCGGGGAUUUUUAUCUCAUCAAAGAUCCAACGGAGAAGAGCAACGACAGGAUUAACCACCACAUGAUGGGAAGAUUCCGGCGGUGUGUUAAUGACCUCGCGCUCAUCGAGCUCUACCUCAACGGCAGGAGGUACACAUGGUCCAACGAGCGGAAUGCGCCAACAUUGGAGAAGCUGGAUAGGGUUCUCGUCUCGAUGGACUGGGAGCAGACACACCCAUCGUCACUUCUCUCGGCCCUCAGCACUAGCGUCUCUGACCAUUGCCCUCUACACCUAGUGCUUGAUCCGAACCUGCGAAGG
rnacentral:rRNA from 1 species